ACUGCUCUGAGAAGAAUUUUUUCCAAUCUAAACCUCCCCUGGUGCAACUUAAAGUCAUUAUUUCUCGUCCUAAAGUCAUUACCUCUUGUCUUUUCCCACCAAAGCAAGAAAAGCAUCAAAACUAGACAAAAAUUCUUAACUAAAACCACACCUAAUACCAGUCCCAGUAAAGUGGAAGUUGCAUCCAAGCUAUUCUUGGAUGUCAUCAAUGUAACUACAAGUUAAUCCAAUCUUACUUGAGCUAUGCCAAAUGCUAUGAGGAGAAGGGCUGUAUGCACCAGGCGUGUUUGGGAGUUUGAAGCAGCCUUACCCCAUGAACUCACCAAUCUCCAGUUCUCCCAUCACCUUUCUUGUGACCUCUCAGGUUAAGGCAUCCUCUGAAGAAGAGCUUGGUCUUCCAUUUCUUUCCAUCUCCACAAAAUCUGCGCGUAAAGGUGAAGAGAAACAACAGAAGGUAGUGCAAGAUGUUAUUUGGGUAAGCCUGGCAGCCUAUCUGUCAUCCUAAACAUGCCCUCAUGGUGCAAAACAAGACUUCAGGGGCUCAGGAUGGAAGACAGCCCUUUUAUACUUUGCACUGUAAUUAUUACUUCAUGAAGCAAAAUACUCAAUUUUCUUCAGGUGUGUCAUAGUAUUAAACUGACUGUACACAUGGA